rnacentral:rRNA from 1 species
GUGAGGUAACGGCUCACCAAGGCAUCGACGGGUAGCUGGUCUGAGAGGACGAUCAGCCACACUGGAACUGAGACACGGUCCAGACUCCUACGGGAGGCAGCAGCAGGGAAUAUUGCACAAUGGGCGAAAUCCUGAUGCAGCAACGCCGCGUGAGGGAUGACGGCCUUCGGGUUGUAAACCUCUUUCAGGAGGGAAGAAAUUGACGGUACCUCCAAAAGAAGCCCCGGCUAACUACGUGCCAGCAGCCGCGGUAAUACGUAGGGGGCGAGCGUUGUCCGGAUUUAUUGGGCGUAAAGAGCUCGUAGGCGGCUCAGUAAGUCGGCUGUGAAAGUCCGAGGCUCAACCUCGGAACUGCAGUCGAUACUGCUGUGGCUAGAGUCAGGUAGAGGAGAAUGGAAUUCCCGGUGUAGCGGUGGAAUGCGCAGAUAUCGGGAGGAACACCAGUAGCGAAGGCGGUUCUCUGGGCCUGUACUGACGCUGAGGAGCGAAAGCGUGGGGAGCAAACAGGAUUAGAUACCCUGGUAGUCCACGCCGUAAACGUUGGGUACUAGGUGUGGCGAUCGGACUAACGAUUGCCGUGCCGAAGCUAACGCAUUAAGUA